rnacentral:rRNA from 1 species
UAAUACCAGCUCUCCGAGUGGUAGGGACAAUUAUUGGGCUUAAAGCGUCCGUAGCCUGCUCGGCAAGUCUUCCGUUAAGUCCAACGAUUCAAUCGUUGGACUGCGGGAGAUACUGUUGGGCUAGGGGACGGGAGAGGCCGACGGUAUUCUCGGGGUAGGGGUAAAAUCCUAUAAUCCCGGGAAGACCACCAGUGGCGAAGGCGGUCGGCUAGAACGCGCUCGACGGUGAGGGACGAAAGCUGGGGGAGCGAACCGGAUUAGAUACCCGGGUAGUCCCAGCUGUAAACGAUGCGGGCUAGGUGUUGAGGCGGCUACGUGCUGCUUCAGUGCCGCAGGAAAACCAUUAAGCCCGCCGCCUGGGGAGUACGGCCGUAAGGCUG